UUUUCCCUACGGGACGCAGCAGUGGGGAAUAUUGCACAAUGGGGGAAACCCUGAUGCAGCGACGCCGCGUGAGCGAAGAAGUAUUUCGGUAUGUAAAGCUCUAUCAGCAGGGAAGAAAAAAAUGACGGUACCUGAGUAAGAAGCACCAGCUAGAUACGUGCCAGCAGCCGCGGUAAUACGUAUGGUGCAAGCGUUAUCCGGAUUUACUGGGUGUAAAGGGAGCGUAGGCGGCGCGUUACG
rnacentral:rRNA from 1 species